GCUAAGACUGGAUAGGAAAUUAAAAGGCAUCUUUUAAUUUUUAAAAGACCUUUUUCGGAAGGUAUGCUUAAAGAGGGGCUUGCGCCACAUUAGUUAGUUGGUAAGGUAAAGGCUUACCAAGACGAUGAUGUGUAGCUGGACUGAGAGGUCGAACAGCCACAUUGGGACUGAGACACGGCCCAAACUCCUACGGGAGGCAGCAGUAAGGAAUUUUUGGCAAUGGAGGAAACUCUGACCGAGCGACGCCGCGUGAACAAUGAAGUACUUCGGUAUGUAAAGUUCUUUUAUUGAAAAAGAAAAAAUAGUGGAAAAACUAUCUUGACAUUAUUCAAUGAAUAAGCCCCGGCUAAUUAUGUGCCAGCAGCCGCGGUAAUACAUAAGGGGCGAGCGUUAUCCGGAAUUAUUGGGCGUAAAGGGUGCGUAGGCGGUUUGAUAAGUCUAUAGUUUAAUUGCAGUGCUUAACGCUGUACCGCUAUAGAAACUGUCUGACUAGAGUUAGAUAGAGGCAAGCGGAAUUCCAUGUGUAGCGGUAAAAUGCGUAAAUAUAUGGAGGAACACCAGAGGCGUAGGCGGCUUGCUGGGUCUUAACUGACGCUGAGGCACGAAAGCGUGGGGAGCAAACAGGAUUAGAUACCCUGGUAGUCCACGCCGUAAACGAUGAGUACUAAGUGUCGGGUUUUGGCUCGGUACUGAAGUUAACACAUUAAGUACUCCGCCUGAGUAGUACGUACGCAAGUAUGAAACUUAAAGGAAUUGACGGGACCCCGCACAAGCGGUGGAUCAUGUUGUUUAAUUCGAAGAUACACGAAAAACCUUACCAGGUCUUGACAUAAUUUUGCGACAUUAUAGAAAUAUAAUGAAGGUUAUCAGAAUUACAGGUGGUGCAUGGGUUGUCGUCAGCUCGUGUCGUGAGAUGUUAGGUUAAGUCCUAAAACGAGCGCAACCCUUGUCGUUAGUUGCGACCACAUAAUGGUGAGCACUUUAGCGAGACUGCCAAUGAAAAAUUGGAGGAAGGUGGGGAUUACGUCAAAUCAUCAUGCCCCUUAUGAUCUGGGCUACAAACGUGAUACAAUGGCUGUUACAAAGAGUAGCUACAACGUGAGUUUUUAGCCAAUCUCAAAACAACAGUCUCAGUUCGGAUUGAAGUCUGCAACUCGACUUCAUGAAGUUGGAAUCGCUAGUAAUCGCGAAUCAGCAUGUCGCGGUGAAUACGUUCACGGGGUUUGUACAUACCGCCCGUCAAA
rnacentral:rRNA from 1 species